rnacentral:rRNA from 1 species
GACGAACGCUGGCGGCGCGCUUAACACAUGCAAGUCGAACGGAAAGGCCUGCUUUCCUUUGUGUAUUGCGGGGACCCGAGUGGCGAACGGGUGAGGAACACGGGAGUGAUCUGCCCCCACCUUGGGUAUAAGCCUGGGAAACUGGGUCUAAUUCCCGAUAGGACUGCAGGGUGGUGCCUGUGGUGGAAAACGAUUUUCUAGUGGUUGCGGAUGGGCUCGCGGCCGAUCAGCCUGUGGGUGGGGUAAUGGCCUAACAAGGCGGCGACGGGUAGCCGGCCUGGGAGGGUGGGCGGCCAGAGUGGGACUGAGAUACGGGCGAGACUCGUACGCCACGCAGCCGUGGGGAAUAUGACGCGAUGGACGGACACCUGACGGAGCGACGCCGCGUGGGGGAUGGCGGCCUCGGGGGUGUAGACUCAUUGGGGCUGCGCGGAAGCUACCUGGAUGGAGGGUUCGUGGCGGUAGUGGUAGAAGAAGGACCGGCUAACCACGUG